rnacentral:lncRNA from 10 species
UUGCGUCGCUUCCUGCACUUUGGCGGCUUUGUUCUUUAGCUCUUUGCAAUAAAUCUUGCUGCUGCUCACUCUUUGGGUCCACACUGCCUUUAUGAGCUGUAACACUCACCACGAAGGUCUGCAGCUUCACUUCUGAAGCCAGCGGGACCACGAACCCACUGGGAGGAACGAACAACUCUAGACGCACUGCCUGAAGAGCUGUAACACUCACCGUGAAGGUCCACAGCUUCACUCCUGAGCCAGUGAGACCAUGAACCCACCAGAGGGAAGAAACUCGGAACACAUCUGAACAGCAGAAGGAACAAACUCCGGACACGCCGCCUUUAAGAACUAUAACACUCACGGCGAGGGUGCGCGGUUUCAUUCUUGAAGUCAGUGAGACCAAGAACCCACCAAUUCUGGACACAUGGCCACUGAGCACUCCCUGCUCGGGGCUGCACCUCAGCAACAACAGAGGCUAUGAUACCGGGCUGGAGGGCGCUGAAACGUUAGGAACAAGCUCUGAAGUCUUGAUCCAAAACAGACAAGGCUUUAAUAUGAAAGCAUUUUUCUUUGAAGAAGUUCACCCUGAAGCCUUGGCCCAAUG